UAACUAUUACGAAAUAAUAAACAUACGUUGUUCAUUAUAAUAAAGUCUCAUAACAUGGUCCCAAGGGCUCCAUAACCUUAACUUUAAAUACACCAUUUAUAAUACAAAUAGUUUACUUAAGGAAUUCCAUCAGAUAAUAACUAAAUUGACAUUCAUUCUAAAUUACUCCUGGAUCUUGCCCUUGCCCUUGUCCUUCGUGUUGGAUCCUUCGGGCUUAGCUGAAAUAGAUGUCAUGAUAUAGCAAGAGUAAGCAACUAAUUUGCUUCGCAAGUUUAUAUACAAGAGAGAUAUAUCAUGACUUAGAAAGAAAUAUUGCGUUCAAUGUUCAACAAUAGUAUAAGAUUGUGAAGGAACAUGAAUUAAUAAUCAACAAUUAAAUAUUCGUUAAUUGAAUAACAUGAACUGAGUGGUUUUGAAUAACCAUGAACAUUUGCCAAGGUGCUCAGUGAUUUAAACUGGACCUUUUAAUAAGGUUUGGUAUUCAAGGGAAUCAGCCUUUCGUACCUCGUGAUUUAUGCAU
rnacentral:lncRNA from 1 species